rnacentral:lncRNA from 1 species
CAGUUAAUAGAAUACAUGGUUUGGAGACUCGAUGAAAGUACAAUAUAACUCAUUAACUAUGUUGGUUUCGGUUUAUGCAAGAAUUUGGUCCUAUCUCGUCACGUGUGUACUGUAUUUUUUCCCGCACAACCAAUAGCAAUGUUUAAAUUGAGCAUUUGUUCAAGUUACGGAUGGAUAACUCAACCACAAACUUGUUAUUGGUUAUUUGAGCGAAAAUACAAUACACACGUGACGAGAUAGGACCAAAUUCUUGCAUAAAGCCGGACAAUAACAUAGUUAAUGAG